rnacentral:lncRNA from 1 species
GAGAGAGAGCCCUUCCAGGCGCUUCGGCCGCCGCCAUUUUGAGUGGCGGGUCAGGAGCGGCGGGCCGGGAGGGCGGAGCGGGAGGCGGUCGCUCGUCCUCCUGAGGGGAGCGCCGUCGUUGUUAUAAUGCCAGACUUAGAAAAAGUCAAUUAAACGUUUCUGUAAUACAACUCUUCCCCCUGGGGGCUGACGUGUGUGUCAGAGAGGGCUGCAGUCUCAGGAAGGCGCUCAGUGAAGGCGAUGCCCCCAAGCUGUCAGCCCUGCUUCCUCAGUCCUUGGCGUUAGGCGCAGCUGAGGGGCAGAGUUGGAAGCGGGGCGCGGGGUGCGGCGGGUGAUGUGGCAGACCCUGUGGAGGCGCGGGCUACAACCAAGAGUUAGGAAAAGGAAUCAAUGGGUGAUUUCCACCCCAGUAACAACUGCCUCCCUUGGGAGCCCACCAACAGCCAUUCAGGCAGGGGUACAGCCAUGUGCUUGAUGGCACGAGGAUUCACUUUCUGGGGAGGUAGGUUUGGCUAUCAGAGGGGUGCUGGGUUAGGGUGAGUGCUAUUAUGGAAUUACUCUUGAAUUUACUAAAACAGUACCGUGCACCAACAACUUAACAGUCAAAUAUUAAAUCAGGUUUCUUUGAAAGCUACGUUGAAUCCUCUGUAACUUCAAGAGAUGUUUCAAGUAAAUGUCAGGCUUGUUGUUCUGUUAACUUUAGCUCAUUAUUUGUCUUAAGCAAUCCGUGAUAUGACAAUCACAGCUCCUUCUAUAGACCAGAUUGCAGGAGGGAUUCCCAUGAGAUAGAAACAGUUUUUAAUCCUCUCAGCAUUUACAUAC